CACAGUGAUUAAAUUAAAUUAGAUUAAUUAAAAUGGAGAACAUCGCGGCGCAGCUGAAGCGGGGGAUAUCGCGGCAGUUCUCCACGGGGUCGCUGAAGCGGACUCUCAGCCGCCAGUUCACCCGCCAAUCCUCGCUCGACCCCAAGAGGAACAACUUGCGCUUCAGCUUCGGCAGGCAGUCCUCCCUCGACCCCAUCCGCCGCAGCCCUUCCCACGACGAUGACGACGAAGUCGAUCUCUCCGUCCCCGAGAAUCUCGACUCCACCAUGAACCUCCUCUUCCUCGCCUGCCGCGGCGACGUCCACGGCGUCGAGGACGUCCUCAAUCAAGGCAUCGACGUCAACAGCAUCGAUUUGGACGGCCGUACGGCGCUCCAUAUCUCUGCCUGCGAGGGCCACGUCGAGGUCGUUAGGCUGUUGCUCUCCCGCAAGGCCAAUAUCGAUGCUCGUGAUCGCUGGGGCAGCACGGCAGCUGCAGAUGCCAAGUAUUACGGGAACACGGAAGUUUACAACAUUCUGAAGGCACGUGGAGCCAAAGUUCCGAAAACCAGGAAGACACCAAUGACUGUUGCGAAUCCUCGAGAAGUUCCAGAGUAUGAGCUCAAUCCGUUAGAGCUUCAAGUUCGAAAGAGCGAUGGUAUCACAAAGGGAUCGUAUCAAGUGGCUAAAUGGAAUGGUACAAAGGUGUCUGUAAAGAUACUUGACAAGGAUUGCUACACGGACCCUGAAAGCAUUAAUGCCUUCAAACAUGAGCUGGAGUUGUUAGAGAAGGUUCGGCAUCCUAAUGUCGUUCAAUUUGUUGGUGCUGUCACCCAAAAUAUACCGAUGAUGAUUGUGUCAGAGUAUCAUUCAAAAGGUGACUUGGGAAGCUAUCUUCAAAAGAAAGGGCGCUUAUCUCCAUCAAAAGCCCUAAGAUUUGCUCUUGACAUUGCAAGGGGCAUGAAUUAUCUUCAUGAAUGUAAACCAGACCCAAUAAUCCACUGUGAUUUAAAGCCAAAAAAUAUUUUGCUCGAUAAUGGAGGUCAACUGAAAGUAGCUGGAUUUGGCUUGAUACGGUUGUCAAAAAUCUCACCUAACAAAGCAAAACUAGCACAGCCUUGGGCUGACACUGACCUUUCAAAUUUAUAUGUGGCACCUGAGAUCUACAAAGAUGAAAUUUUCGACAGAAGUGUGGAUGCAUACUCUUUCGGUCUUAUAUUAUAUGAGAUGAUUGAGGGAAUACAACCAUUCCAUCCCAAGCCUAUUGAAGAAUCUGUGAAGCUGAUGUGUUUGGAAGGAAAAAGACCGCAGUUGAGGACCAAAUCAAAAAGUUAUCCCCCUGUACUGAAAGAGUUGAUUGAGGAAUGCUGGGAUCCAGAACCUGUUAUGAGACCCAUUUUCUCUGAGAUUAUUGUACGCUUGGACAGGAUAGUUGCGAAUUGCUCAAAGCAGGGAUGGUGGAAAGACACGUUUAAGCUUCCUUGGAAAUAAGAGGAGGCAGUCUCAGUUCCAUCGCAAAACGAAUAGAGGAAAGGACUUGGGGGUAGACUAGCUGCUCGGGCCUUGACGUUGCAGUGUAAUUAAUAAUCAAGAGGGAGGGCUUUGGAUUAGAGUAAGCAAUCGGGUCAGCCUACGUAAAAACGAAAAAGAAACGAUCUAUAAAGUGAUGUUAUUGUACGAUCUGUAAAGUGUAUAGGAGAAGAGAAGAAGAAGCCUUUCUGAAGUUGCUUUUCCUUUGGGUGAAGAUGGAGCCCAUAACGUAGACAAAUUAACCACAUGUGUGAGUAAAUUGGUAAUGUCAUCCAAUCAUAUUAGAUUAAUUGUCUUCGUACGUGAUCGAUACUUUGCUUAUGGAAUUAUUCAGUCUGAAUUACCGUUUUAUCCGAAUUAAUCGAGCAUUUUCAUACAACGUUCAUGGGUCAAAAAGGCAACCACUUUGUAAAUGUAAUAUGGAAGGCAGGUUCCUUCAAGUUGAAGGGGACGACUAAUCCAAUAUCUUGCUUGUAUCCUUA